rnacentral:Y_RNA from 1 species
AGCUGGUCCGAGUGUAGUGGUGUUUACAACUAUUAAUAAUUGAUCAUAACCAGAGUCAUUUGUUCCUCCUCCAUUCCCACUGCUUCACUUGACUAGCAAAC